CAGGAAUCGAACUCCCCACACUUGGUUCCAGAGCCCCCCAAUGUGAUUGUUCCGCCAACUUGGAUGUGCCCUGGGGGGCAAAUUGCUAUGAAGUUAUUGUGUCACUGGGUUGUGUGUAUGUAAUAUAUAUUAAUACGUUCUUCACUUCUUUAGUGAAUGCUCUGUUUGAUUCUCAUUAUUUUAUUUAAUAAUUUUUGAAAUAGUAUUUUUGGGAGAAUGUGUAGUAAAAAAAUAAGGAAAUAUUUACGAUUAAUGUCUAAUAUUAUUAUAAGGAAGAUUGUGUGCUUGAAAAUGAGA
rnacentral:lncRNA from 1 species